ACACUUAACUGGAGGAAUCAACAACAACGGAGCUCUUUAGCCUACGCUGCUAUCAGCAUCAGUGGUGGACGGACCUGUGAUGGAACUGUAUUCACGGAGCGGAGGGUUCAGGAGUUGCCCCGCCGUGCCACACAUACCUCUGCCCUGACAACAGGUCUGGACAAAAGCAGAAAGCCACGACAACACAGGACGCUUCAGCUUUACAGACUUUAUAAUUGGAGAUACAACAGUCAACCAGCCGAGCUGAGUCUGACACCUGCUGCACCGUCCUCCCACUGCUGCCGCAGCAUCACUCAGAUAAAACGGAGGCA